CAGCAGUGGGGAAUAUUGCACAAUGGGGGAAACCCUGAUGCAGCGACGCCGCGUGGAGGAAGAAGGUCUUCGGAUUGUAAACUCCUGUUGUUGAGGAAGAUAAUGACGGUACUCAACAAGGAAGUGACGGCUAACUACGUGCCAGCAGCCGCGGUAAAACGUAGGUCACAAGCGUUGUCCGGAAUUACUGGGUGUAAAGGGAGCGCAGGCGGGAAGACAAGUUGGAAGUGAAAUCCAUGGGCUCAACCCAUGAACUGCUUUCAAAACUGUUUUUCUUGAGUAGUGCAGAGGUAGGCGGAAUUCCCGGUGUAGCGGUGGAAUGCGUAGAUAUCGGGAGGAACACCAGUGGCGAAGGCGGCCUACUGGGCACCAACUGACGCUGAGGCUCGAAAGUGUGGGUAGCAAACAGGAUUAGAUACCCUGGUAGUCCACACUGUAAACGAUGAUUACUAGGUGUUGGAGGAUUGACCCCUUCAGUGCCGCAGUUAACACAAUAAGUAAUCCACCUGGGGAGUACGACCGCAAGGUUGAAACUCAAAGGAAUUGACGGGGGCCCGCACAAGCAGUGGAGUAUGUGGUUUAAUUCGACGCAACGCGAAGAACCUUACCAAGUCUUGACAUCCUGCGACGCACAUAGAAAUAUGUGUUUCCUUCGGGACGCAGAGACAGGUGGUGCAUGGUUGUCGUCAGCUCGUGUCGUGAGAUGUUGGGUUAAGUCCCGCAACGAGCGCAACCCUUAUCCUCAGUAGCCAGCAAGUGAAGUUGGGCACUCUGUGGAGACUGCCAGGGAUAACCUGGAGGAAGGUGGGGAUGACGUCAAAUCAUCAUGCCCCUUAUGAUUUGGGCUACACACGUGCUACAAUGGCGUAAACAAAGGGAAGCGAUCACGCGAGUGUGAGCAAAUCUCAAAAAUAACGUCUCAGUUCGGAUUGUAGUCUGCAACUCGACUACAUGAAGCUGGAAUCGCUAGUAAUCGCGAAUCAGAAUGUCGCGGUGAAUACGUUCCCGGGUCUUGUACACACCGCCCGUCACACCAUGGGAGUUGGUAACGCCCGAAGUCAGUGACCCAACCGUAAGGAGGGAGCUGCCGAAGGCGGGACCGAUAACUGGGGUGAAGUCGUAACAAGGUAGCCGUAUCGGAAGGUGCGGCUG
rnacentral:rRNA from 1 species